rnacentral:rRNA from 1 species
ACGCUGGCGGCGUGCCUAACACAUGCAAGUCGAGCGGUAACAGGUGUAGCAAUACAUGCUGACGAGCGGCGAACGGGUGAGUAAUGUUUCGGAAUCUGCCCAAUGGUGGGGAAUAACCAGCCGAAAGGUUGGCUAAUACCGCAUAAGCCCUACGGGGGAAAGCGGGGGUUCGCAAGACCUCGCGCCGAUGGAUGAGCCGAAACCGGGUUAGCUAGUUGGUAGGGUAACGGCCUACCAAGGCGACGAUCCGUAGCUGGUCUGAGAGGACGACCAGCCACACUGGGACUGAGACACGGCCCAGACUCCUACGGGAGGCAGCAGUGGGGAAUAUUGGACGAUGGGGGAAACCCUGAUCCAGCGACGCCGCGUGUGUGAAGAAGGCCUGCGGGUUGUAAAGCACUUUUAGUGGGGAUGAAAAGCUCAGGGCUAAUACCGCUGAGUCUUGACCUAACCCAAAGAAAAAGCACCGGCUAACUCUGUGCCAGCAGCCGCGGUAAUACAGAGGGUGCAAGCGUUAAUCGGAAUUACUGGGCGUA